UGGAUCAAAAAGGAAGCCAGAGGAACUGGAGCUCAGGCAAUUGCAAAAAAGAUUGGAUUUGCUGCAACUGUAUACUUUAUCUGGAAAGCGAGGAAUGCCAAAAAUUUUGAGAAUAAACUCCUUCAAAGCACUAACAGUAACCACCAUGAUAAAAAAAUUAGAAAUAAAAUGACCAAAAAUUAUGAGAAAAAGAAUAUUGAAAAAAAAUUAUGACCAAAAAUUAUGAAAAUGCGCACACAAAAUACAAGGGUUUUGUCAUAAAUACAAAAUGCGCACACAAACACAAAAUGUGCACACAAAUUAUGACCAAAAAUUUUGAAAACACACACACAAACAGUAUUUUUUUUUUAUCAAAAUACUUUGUUUUUUCAUCAAACAUGUUGUAAGAGUCCAUACUUUUAUCAACUCAAAUUAUUUUUGACUAUUUUGCUCUGUUCUCGCGUAAAUUUAACAAGUUUAUAAUAUUUUUUGUAACAAAUUUAAUUCAAGUCUUUCACUCCCUCUAGUAUUUUCAUUACCGAAAUCUUAUCUCUAUUCUUUACCGUAACAUCUAUUUACCCAAAACAAAAACAGUUUCUGAAAAUUUGGAAAGAGUUGGCAAUUAAGAGUUGAGGGGGUCAAAGUGAGAUUUUGUAAAAAUAUAGAGGUGUUAAAUGUAAUUAACCCUAGUUCCCUCACCUCCAUCUAAAACUUUGUUGCUGCCCCAACCCCAACAGGCACGAGGAGGAGCUGCCGAAGGUGGACAUAUUCGUGUGCACGGCGGACCCGGUGAUAGAGCCUCCUGUGAUGGUGAUCAACACGGUGCUGUCGGUGAUGGCCUACGACUACCCGCAGGAGAAGUUGAACGUGUACCUGUCGGACGACGGCGGUCGACCUCACACCUUCUACGCUCCUCUUGGAGGCCUCUCGCUUUGCCAGCACUGUAUACUUUCCUGCAGAAGUUCAAUGGGAGCCCAGGUCGCCGGCCUUGCUUAUUUUGUCCUCCGUGGUAAAUGGGGAGAAGAGGUUUAGGGUCUAUGGAGUUUAACCAAUAGAACUCCUCACUUGGAAAUGCAGGUUAAUAGCUUGAGCGGACUUCAAAGCAUGGAAUACACUCGAAGGGUCAAAAAGGGUCUACCGCAUCAGGCAGUACGUGGCCAACGCUGCCAGAUCAGAGGUCAGUCAACUUAUGGUGUCCCCAACCUUGUCUGGAACCUGAUGGACCCAGAUGGGGGUCGGGCCCAAUAAAGUAGUAAGUGGUAGCCCGCCGAAAAAGAUCUCACCAUAUGAAAAAUAAUCGGAAGCACAAGUUCAUCCUCCAGCUGGACAGUCCGCAAGCCAGCACUAUGUUAGUUUACAGUGAAAGAGUAAUUCAUUGUCCAAGCCCAUACACGGGGAGAGCGUGAUAUGUUCGUACGAGCACUAGUGAGUGAGGGGUACUCGUCUGGUCCAGACGGGUGACAGUCUUAUGGGCCCUCAAGCGUAGUGAGAGUGAGAUUGCACCCACUGCCAGUAGGUAACGGCCUCAUUACAUGGGUCCUACAAGUGUAUUGAGAGCAAGGGGUAUUUUUUCUCGAGAUCGGGUAGGUUCCGUCAUCGCAAUGGGAUUUAUCAUCCAGAGUUGCUGGUUUCAACUCAACUAGUGUGGUUGUUCCAAGGGCUUCUAGAUCAGGCAUCGAGGGAAACAAAAAGGCAGACAAGCAGGUUAAGAAGACUGAAAGACAAUUAGCACUUGGUGUUCCACCACCACCACCUAAUAAUGAUGGUAAUCAUAGAGAUCAAAAGACCAUGGCGGGGCCUGGCAACUGUGUGGAAGUAUGCUGGGGAGAUAUUUCAUGGCACGAAAAAAAGGACAAUAGGCUUAUGGAGACCGACCAGCCGAAAAAAUUAAAAAAUCAGUGGUUUGCCAAGUACCAGAUAAGAACCAGCGUGGCCAUUUCCAUACACUUGCAAAAGGGCUCUUGGGGCAUGUACAGAGCUCCAAGAAAUCAAAGGCAUCAAAGGAGGCAUCAAAUGGAUAGGGGGAAACCAGCAUGGUGGUAAGAAUGCCACGAAGAAAUUACAGUGGUGGCAAAUGUUUCGCGGCAAGAAGGCAGUGAAACUGUCAAGUAAACCGCGUGUCAAGCUAAGACUUGGGAAUAAGAAGCCUCGGUUACAAUCAUUACGUAAGAUGAAAUGAGAUAUUUUGGUAGUUGACGGAGCUGGAGCUGGAGCUGGAGCUGGAGUGGGAGUGGGAGUGGGAGUGGGAGUGGGACUGUAUCCAGAGUCCCUUUAGAUGUACCCAAAACCGUCCCGCACAUAUAGUGAGUGAGGUUAACAUACCACACCUUUCUCCUUGGAGAAAAAAAUGUUGCAUAACGGUUGUAUGGAUAUUUUUAUCACUGAGAUUAGUGAGAUAUCAAGGUUACUUUUGAUAUUGUACAGAAUUCAUGUAAAACCCACUAUUGCUAUAGCUAUGAUAGUGAAUCGGAUUGAAUUGUUUGUACAGAAACUUUUUCUCAAAUUGAUGUUGGCAUUUGCAUAUGGAAAAUGCUAGGGUAAACCCAAGGUGUACACCAAAUGUACACCUUGGAGAGAGAGAGACACAAAGAAAGUGGGACCUAGAGGUCCUGGAUUGGAUUUCUGUUACUCUGUUUUGAGUCUUCAAAUAUUACGCCGAUUCUUUAGAUUAUGCAUUGGCAAUGUAUUGUGCUAAACUAUUGCAGGUUCUUGGAUAAGAGACUUAGGAAUUGGUAAUACCUACAUUUUGAACAUGGCCAGUAUUUGGGUUUGCAUGGUAACCUGCUUGAGUAGACUUCUCCUCCGUCAUGGAGAGGCGACUUUUUUUUUUUUUUACUUUUUAUUUGGAGAACAAUCACUACAAGAUUAGAUACUUCUCUUCAAGUAUUCUUGUUACCCUUGACUGAACCAGAUAUCAGGAGUUCUUUGCAGGUUGAAUGGAUGUCCUCGAAACAACAAACAAGACAUGCCAAACCAACAGGGGUUAGGUAACAAUUUUCACACCAGUUUUAAGGUUUUUAUCCACUUCAUAUUUCAUGGUAUGUGAUCCUAGAGUAUGAACUCAAUUUACUGUAUCCCUGAUAAGCGUUCAGGGAAUAGGAAUAUUAGCUUAGCUGCUAAUCUGCACUUCAAAAUCUAUUGUUUGAUAGUUAGAUCUUGGUCACAGACUCACAGUAUAACAAGUCUUACUCAUUUCAGUUGAUCGCAUCUUGCUUUGGUGUGCCCUUACAUAUUGGAACACGCAUCUCGAAACGGUGAAUUUAGUGAUCCAAGCGAUCCCCAAUUUUUAUUCCAUUUCAUACAUAUUUUCAUUUGAAGAAAGUAGCUAAUUGUCAUAACAGGGGAAAAUGUAAAACAAAAUUGUCAGAACACAUUAUAAAUGUAUGUUAUGUGGAUAAUUCAAUAUAUAUAUAUAUCUCUAUGUUCUAUUAGAUAUUUAUUACUUGCAAAAAGUAUAUUAUGUGGAGCCCUGCUUCCUAUUGCCUUCUUGCCGAAGGCCCGAAAGCACAACGGUUUGGAAAUAAGAAUUAGCAAUAACACACGCUUGUGCUAGUUUUGACUAGUAACUCUUUAACUUGUUUGUGUUGCAGCUGUGGUUCUUCUGGGUAAAUAUUGAACCUGAGCUCUUGUAGUAGCAACACCUCCAUCUUUGAAACUAAGUAUGGGAAUCUUUUUCAAUGCAAUAAAGUUGCAUAGUGUUCUGUUUUUCUUCGAUAAAGGGGUAUUUCCAUGGCCUAUUUCCAGUAAACUUUUUCCAAUCGAAUUUUAAUUUGAUAUGUAUAAAUAGCUGCUGCUUUUUUUUUACUACACGGUUUUGAUACAUUUCGAAAUGGAGAGCUCGCUACAAUAUCGAAGGCACCUACACAAUUAUCAUGACCGAGAGAAAUUGGAAACAGAUAUUCUCAUUCACUCCAAUUCAGGUCCAAGUCCUUUAGUUUAAUAAGCCACUGGUGUUGUAUUAUUGGAGGACGUAAGGUUAGUUGAUGGUGCCUUCUUCCCUUCUCCAGUGGCAUGUUAGAUGGCAAACAUAAUCACUCUCUUAUCUUUUGAAAGGUUUGCCUGUCGGUUGGGGUGCCUCAUCUUGAGCGAUAGAAGACGAGAAACUUCGUGAAGGCCUCCCCAUUUCUCCAAUGCACAAGCAAUGUUGUAGCGACCUGUCAAAAAAAGAAAAAGAAAAGAAAGAUCCAAAAUAUUAAAUGGAUACUCAACAAAUCUCGUAGAUAGCGCUUGGAUUUAUGGUCUCUUGCCAUUGUUAGGCCAUGAAAAUUAAUGAAUUUUAGUUCAUUUGUUAUUUGAAAUCUUUCCAUAACUUAACUACUUCUUGAUGAAUUUUAGCCAAGUACAUCUUCACUAUCUCCAUUUCAAAAUCCAAUUCAGAAUUAUCCUCCUACCUCCAGUGGUGUCGACAUUCACAAAAUUUCACAAAAUUCAACCUCAAUUUUUUUCAUUUCAGUCCACUCAAUCCAAUCGGAGCAUUAGUCUAACAAAUAAGAACAAAAUAAGAAGUAGUUGAUCUGCAAUUGUACUUGCAGAUGGUUCAAGUAUUUGGAAUAAUCUCCCAUUCAACUUCUCAUUGGUAUAUUGCUUAGAGCGAAUUGCUCAUUAUUCAUUUUUUAACAUAGCAAGUAGUCUCUUUAAAAUUCCAUUCACUAGUGUACCAUCUUUAUAAUCCCUAAUAAGAAAUGGAAAUUUAUAAUACAUACCCGCACACUCAAAAGGACUUUCUACUAGGCAUGAACGACGGGUCCAUUCCCCAGCUUCUUUGGAACCGACUUAUCUGCAAGAUAGAAAAGGAUCAGUUUUUUAUUUCACCUCGUGUUAUGUCCGCUGCUACAAUCUCAAAAUAGUAUAUUAGUUCCAACAGAUUAAAAUAACUAAUGAUAUCUACAUAACGAUGUUCUUUGGUUUAUUUUUUCCUCUUUUGGGUCAUUUGGCUACCAUUAUCUGCCGUAAAUGAUUUGUUUAGAGAAAUAGAAAAUUCGUGAACUCAAACUGAAACAAAAGUUUUCCAUUCAACACAACUGUAGUAAGCAAAUUUCCUCCUCUUGCAAAUUCUCAAGAUUAUCCCAAUAGCCCUUUGGUUUACGGUGCUUGUAAGCAAGAGAGAGAUUCAUCAAUGACAUGAUCCUUCUGAAUCCCCCCAUGCGUGUGAUUGCCUUCUCAAUAUCCACUCUCCCGUGCUCGCGAAGUUGCUUUCUCAUAGGCAUAAAUCCUUCUUGCCCAUGCUCUGAUAUAAAGUUCAGAAGCUCGGCUUUAAGAACUUCUAUAUCUUUCUGCAAGCCUGGAACCCGUGGUCUUUGUCGAGAAGACUGUGGAUCAUAAGAAUCAAAAUCUUUCUCGGCUAACAUGCUAUUUUCAGAAUAUCCGUCUUUGCUAGAUGAAUUGGUUUGCUCCACAGAAUAUGUUGUGUGGUCAUGGGUCUCCAAAGAGUUAUGUCCUUCCCUUUUUUCAACAUAAUCUCGAAUGGCACAUAUGUUUGAUGGGAGAUCUUCGUAUAUAACCUAAAAUUUUCAAUUACAGAACAAUUAUUUUGGUAAGGCUCAGGAAGACUGCAUAUGAACAUGACUGUAAGGUUGUGUUUGGUCGGAUCAAAUGGAUUUUGUAAGGAAUUAAAUGGAGAUUAGAAUGGAAUGGAAUGAUAUAAGAAUAGUCGUUCUCAUUUUGUAAGGAAUGGAAUGGAAUGGAACGGAACGGAAUGGAAUGGAAUGAAUAUUCUUUAAUUUCCCUUGGGUAAUGGUCAUUUCUGUGUUCUCGUGAAUAUUCAUUUGAAAUUGAAUGACUUUUUCAUUACUUUUUGAUCAACCAAACACUAGAACGAUCAAUGGAAUGAUCAUUGUAUUCCAUCUAUCAUUCCAUCCAACCAAAUAUAGCCUAAAAGUAAUUGGAAAUUAUAAAUUAUAAACUAAAAAAUAAAUAAUCAAUUCUAGUCUUGGAGCCAUGAAGGGUAUAUACUUCUAUAAUCUCUUCUAUAAAAUAAUUUCAGAAAAAAUAAGUUAUCUAAAACCUAUGUUACAUGGACUCAGGCACGGGUGUCGGGUACGGAUAUGUGCACAAAUGUCGGAGUCAUCUAAUUCUCAUUUCAAUGAUACGUGAACACGAAAAAAUAUUCAUAUUUCUUAGUAUAUUCCUUUAAUUUUCGAUACGGCUAAUAGUGAUGGUUAAACAAUCAGGUGGUUGUCGGAGAAGAAUAAAAAGCGGCAUUCAUUAUAUUUGGAUAGUUUUUAGCAUAUUUCUUUUGUGAACUUGAAUUACUGUAUACACCUCCUAGUUGAGUGUCCAACUAAAAAUAUCAACACAUAUCCCGUAUCCUUAUACAAGUGUUGAGUAUCCGACACAUGUAAUUUUUACUUUUAGGAGAGUUCACGAAAGGUAGUCUAAAACAUAUAAAAGAAGGCUACCAUGCAUUGUAAUCAAAGUUUGAAGUUGGAGAAAAAUAAAAUUCACAAACCUCUUCCAUUAUAGCUUCAGAAAGUAAGGAAUUCUUGUGCAUUUUUGACUCUACAGAGUAUUUCAAUAGUGUGUGAUGAUUUCCAAGUUCCUCCAGAACCCAUUUUCCUUGGAAAAAGUCAAAGUCUCCUUCAACCUGCUCGAAACUGAUCUCUUGUUCAAGGUGUGUUCGCACAAAUCCAACACAACACGUGCAUGGAGUACCAUAUACAGCAGACCCUUGCAUCCUUCCUGAGAUAUGAGAUGGACAAUUAAGUAUUGUCUUGAUCGUAGAGUUAGCACAGUUACAUCCGGUUAAGUGAGGUCCACAAUCCAUUCAGUGUAAUGAAAAGAAGAUACAAUCAAUGAACACCAAGACUUGUAUCAUGAUAGGAAUCAACACCACAAAUUUCACCAUAUCUGCAUAAAUCAAAAGAUGUCCAUGAUUUUCUUGGCCGAAGUAUCUAAUUCUUUUUCUUUCAUUUAUGUAAAGCAGAUUCCAUUUGCAGCGGAAACCCACAAUGUGCGACGGCGCAGAAAUGAAGCAGAUAGCAGACAGGAAAUUUCAAACAAUGAGACCGAUUUUGGUCAGAUUAGUUUGAGAUCUUAGGAAUCGAAGUUUUUAUUGGUUGAAAUUAAGUUUUCUUUGCGUUAUUUUAGUCCUCUUGACUUUUGGUUUGUGGUCUCCCACAGUAUUCUUUAAUUACCCAUAAUGUCGCCUCCUAUAGGAGCUAGGAAAAUUCUUUUCACGUCAGGAAUGGAACCCGGUUUGCUUUAGCUAAACUAUAGUGGAAUAGAAAAGCAUUCUAAGUAACCGCAAAUUUUGAAAAUAAUGAAAUUCAGUUGUACCUGCACAAUGCGAACUUUGUUGUUGUCACGUGAUAAAAUCUUACUGAUUGCUAAAUUUGGAACGAUCCUGCAAAUAAGUUUCAUGAGAUAACACGAUCAGGAAGAUUAAAAGCAUGGUGGAAAGGCUAGCACAGACUUCUAUAGGAUGUGGACUUUUUGUAGUUUUUUUCCCAUUCAGGGAUCAUAUAAAUCGAAUGAAAAAUUUUAGUGCAUGCAUGCACAUAUUAGUUUUCUCACUAUAAGCUGUAAUAUAUCAUAUGGGUCGAUAAACAUUGGGUUUGUCGAAAUAUAGAAUCGGAUUAUGAAAGAAAAAUUGGUGAUAAGAAAAUUCACAAGCUUAUUGGCUGAUACUUAUCACUGUUAGAACCUCACCGGUCCGUAUCAGCCAAUAUGCCCAAUACAUCCAUCGUAUCGGUCUGAUGCGGAUUACCUUCCCACUUGCACAAAAUCUCUUUAGAUUUUGAAGCUUGAUUCUUUCACCAAAGAGGCUUUGAUUGGCAUGAUUUUGGUUUGGGUUAGUGGGCUUUGGCGUUUCGCUUUAAUGUGAUUUUGUGUUUUUGGUUUUUGGUUUCUGGUUUGAAUUGUUUGAUAACUAUCUAUAUACAUAACGUGUAUGUAAUACAAUUGUUAUAUACUGAUAUAAGUCAAAACAAUAUCUAAUGAGUUGAGUAUUAUUCACCCAAAGAAAAAGAGUUAACGUAUCACUUAUCCAAUAAAACUCUCUCUUUUCCCAGGAAAUAUGCGCGCGUGUCCAAUGUGUAUUAUUCAUAUCUACUGCAAACAUUAAAUUUUUGAGAAAUAAGGUUGGAACAUGCUUAUCAAUGAUUUUUAUGGAAGUUUGCUAGUGUUGAGAGCAAUUCACAAGUCCGAUCUUGGAUUCCCGUUUUACACAUUGGCCGAUACUCCUAAUAACCAUCAUACAAAACUGCGACCAUCACAUGAUACUGCAAUUUACAACUCUUGAUCUAUUAGCGUUUUAUGAUGCCUUCUAUCCUAAAUCAUUUAAUUGGUAUCAACACCAUUGUCAUAGUUGGGGCGGUGCUCAUGAAGACUCUCAUUGUUGAGAAAUGUUUUGACUCAGCAAAAAGAUAAAAAAGAAUAUUGUAUUGUCAUUCGGUCAUCCCCCAUUUCCAUCUCUCCAAAAUCCUCAAAAAAAUUUAAAACCUGCAGAAAAGAUACAUGCACUAUGUGUCAUGUUUGAUUGAGCUAGGGGGCCAAUGUCUUAAUUGCUAGUAUUUUUUAUUGCAACAUUUCCAAUUCCAGUGCAUUCACAUAUAUAUAGAAUAAAAUUCAUGAAACAAACUAAAAUGAUACUUACUCGGGAAGACUCUCAUAGUCAGUCAACACAUUCCAUACUUCACGAAUAGGAGCUUUUACUGUUAUGCUGGCAACAACACAGCGAUGUACGCCUCCAUUUUCCUUCAGGCCAAAACCAUUUUAUCGGCAAGACUGCUAUAACAAAUGAUGCUUUCCAUGGGAAAGCACGGCCUAAUUAGAUUAGUGUAAAUCAGUUACCAAUAGGCCAUCAAAUCGACGAAGAUGAAUUUCAUCCACCAUGCAAGGCCUAUCAAGUUUGAAAACUUUCUCAAACACUCCCCAGUUACUGCUCAAGUCACAAGAAGAUGGUGGCGACAAGUGACCAAAAGACAAGCUGGCAUAACUCUCGUUCAACUCUCCAGAAGGAAGUUUAUCCUUCUCAGAUAUAGCACCGUCAAUGCAUCUGCUGGGGACAAUAGGUAACUCUAAUCAUUUUUGUACCCAAAAAACUUUCUUUGGUGGGUGCAUUCUGAUUUCCUUCAAAAUUCCUCUCAGCUCUACAAGCCAAGGCUUGAAGAUUCACGGGCAGAUCUGAUAAUCCUCUCCAAGAAUAUGGCUGGGAAGUUGAACCUUGGUAUCACAUUAACUUCAUAUGACAAAAUUGUUGUUGCAUAUCUGUGGAACAAAAUAACCAAUAGAGAGUAGUAAAUGGAACAUUGAAGUGUCUAUACCCAUAAGGAGAAUGAAAUGAUUAUUCUGCAAGAUCAACAUUACCGUGACUUUGCCUAGAUACUGAAAAAUCAGGUGCCUUGAAUAUAAGUGAAUAAAUUAGUUUCUAUAAUACUUGAUAUUAAUGUUUCAAUCAUUAAGACAGUGAUUCUUUGUUGGUAUCAUGUAUCUAAAGUCCUAGAGUUUUGGUAGGCAAGGGAAGAAGAAUCCUAUAACCUUCGGUAUCUUUACUUAAAAGAUCCGCAGAGGUAAAGGAUUUUCUUUAGCGUCUUCCUGGUAACAGGAGGAGAACCGUAAAUACCAUGUGGUCAUUGGAACUGUACUGUCACAACCUAGGCCCAACUACGUUUCAGCUUGACAGGUUUGGAUUAAACUAAAUGCGUAUAAAACAGCAAGGACUUAUAAAAGUGAUGCGACAGUAAUAGGUUAUAUUCCACGAAUAACAAAAUUUAUUGGUGGUCAUCGCGUCUAUCACUAUGCCUCAACAUGCAAUGCUGGAAAAGAGAUAGUAAAUAUGAUUAAUAUAUGCGAAGGUUGAUGAGCCUGCUGCAACAAGAUGCUUCUGUCAAUAUACUGAACAAUGAUAUCUGGAUGUUAUCCUGUAAAAGGUUUCAAUGUAACAAGUCAAAGACGUCCCAUAGUAAAGGGUUUCUAAAUUAUAAUAUACUAACAUAGAAGCAGUCUUUUACCCCACAUUCUCUAAGGGCCUGAUUAUACCCACAGUCAUGAAGAGAUAACUAGAAUAUGCAAGCAUGAGGUGUCAAUACUAGUAAUUAAUUCUCACUGGCAGGGAUGACCAAUCCUUUUGGGGCCUGAGAAACCCCAAUGAGCUGUUGUGAUGGCUGCCACUGCCAAAUUAUAGCAGUUCCACUCAAAAGAUUAUAUGCCAAAAGGACUACGUUCGCCCCUCGGAUGCAUCUUCUAUUUGUUUCCUGAGCAUAUCUGAGUUUAUAUUUAUCAAUCCAAACUCUAAAGGGCAAUAUGGUUGAGGAGAGUCCUUUAUGAUUACAAGGGAUGCAGAAGCUGUAAAGCCUAGUGGCAGUUCAAGAUCCUAAAUCAUGGUCCCAUAUACAUACGACGCUUAUAGUUCGGAUUACUUGGUUUGCGUUUGUUAGGAGGAAGAUUUUCUGGUCUAGAAGUAAUCUCGUUUUGAAAUUGUUUUUCAAAGAAUGUAUUCUGGUGACAAUGUUCGUACUUUUGAUUCUAGUUUUGUAUACUCAAGCUGAUUACUUGUAAAAAAAAUGCAAAAAACUCAAGUACCCCUUAGAUAUAAAUAAUAACAUAACAAAAUUCGGUGGAAUUGCUGGAUAUAUAUGGAUGGAUCAAGCCCAAUGUUUUUUACGCCUGUUUGGUUUGACCCACUCAAAUUACAUGAUCCGAGCACUUUUGUAAUGAGAUGAAAAGUAGGCCAAGUCAAAGAGUGAAUCAAGGGAGUUAGUUUGCCGUUGUUAUGAUAGGAGGAAGAAUUUCUAGUCUAGAAUUAGAAGUAGUCUCGUUUUGAAAUUUUUUUUCAAGUAUGUAUUCUAUUGACAAUAUUGGUACUAUUGAUUCUAGUUUUAUAUACUCAAGCUGAUUACUUGUAAAAAAAAUGCACAAAACUCAAAGAGGGAUCAAGGAGUUGGAAUUGCUUGGAUAUAUACGGAUCAAGCCCAAUUUUUACCGAUUGGGUUUGGAUUGUCUGUUGACCUACUCAAAUUACAUGACUCGAGCACUUUUGUAAUGAGAUUGAAAAAUUGCCAAGUUAAAGAGUGAUUAAGGAGUUUGGGUAAUUUUUACACUUUUUAAUUUUUACUUUCGUCUCUCACGAUUCAAUUUGAAUAUAUUAAAACUUAAAUUUUAAUACAAUUGUAAUUUAGACCUUCGUCUACGUCCGUUAAAAUUUGUGUAUAAAAAUAGCUACGGGCUACACAUACGACCUAUAUAAAGGAAAAUGUUCGUUUUUUAGAUUUUGUUGGGAUAAAAUAUUUUUUUCCAUGAGUUGAAAACAUAAUUCUCUCAUGCCAUGUCUUUUCUUCCUCAACAUGAGCACUCUUCCAUCACCAGGUCAUCCUCUACACACCUAUAUAUAUAUAUAUGCACAUCUGUGUUUCUGUGUGUAUUUUACGUUGUUCCUUCUAUAAUUUUAGGUUCGUUUUGUUCCUGCUAUACCCUUUUAAUGUUUCAUCAAUAAAUAAAACUCGAGAAUUGUCCAAUUCUUCUUGUGGGUAGUUGGAAUUGGUUAUUAUUAGCUUGUUUUGCAGAGGAGUGUAAUUUGAUAAUCCAUUAUCAGCCAUGUGUACAAUUUAAGUUUUCUGCCCUACCUUAUGAGGAUUCAUCGGAAAAACUCGUGAAUUGUCCAAUUCUUCUUGUGGUAGUUAAAUUAGCGUGGUUUAGAUGGUUGCGGAAGAGUGUGAAAUGAUUAAUUCACUCCUUGAUUAGUUAUGAUUUUGAACUCGAGUUGUUCUGUCAUACCCUUUUGAUGAUUAAUCGAAAAAGCUCAAGAAUAUUUAAUUCUUCCUUAUGAGGUAGUUUACAAUAACUUUGUUAGAUUGGUUUUCAGAAGAGUGUGAAAUGAUAAUCACUCCUUGAUUAGUUAUGUUUAGAACUUAAAGUGGUUACUGUCAUACCUUCUGAGAUUCGUCACGAAAAUUCUCAAGAAUUAUUUAAUUCUUUUUGUGGGAAGUUGAAUUAUUUUUUAUUUGAGAUUGUUUAUGCAUAGACUGUAAGCUGAAGAAUCCAUCAAUUUGGUUUAACAUGUGAAAUCGGAAGACCGAAAACGGGCACUCAGAUUGCUUCAGUAAGCCCUUGUGUCAGGAAGUGUUGUGAAUACCAUUUGAUGAAUUGUCAUCAUGCAUCCUGUUUGAAGGGUAAACCCUACCUGGUAUGACCCCCCAUCUCGCAUAAACUAUAGUAUUUGUUGUUAUUUAAAGAAUUUGUUGCUGGUUUGUUUGGUGUAAUCAACCUCUUUAAGACGUAUCAUUGAUUUUUAAGUGCUCUAAUGGAACGGUGAUAGAUUUGAAGGUGAUAUUUUUUUCCCUUUUAUUCGCAACUGCCACCGAAGGGACUUAAUUGAGAAAAAUUUAAAAAUCCGUCCAUUUUAAAUGUUUGAAUUCAUUUGACUAUAUUAUUUUACAGAGCAUACAGAAAAAACAACAAGUAGUUUAAGAUGGGAAUUGUCCAUUUAAACGGGUAUUGCUUGUGCAUAGGAUUAGCAAUGGGCAAUCUUUAAGUUUGUUCUUUUCGUUGACAAUUUUUGGUUUAUAACAUCCGCUUGCUUAUUCUAAUUAGUGUCUCCUGUAAAGGAUUUCAAUUUCUUCAAGGUAUCGAUGAUAAUUGUAAUUUUUUCUUGAAGCUUACUUGUCUGCCUAUGCAUACCCCACGCCAUGUCCAGGGCCUUCAACAAAUUGUUUGGAACUUGCUAUCGUUCCCUGCUCUCCUUCCUCGCCGUCGUCCUACUUAUUCUAUCAUGUGAUUUGAUUGAUCAUAGCAUUGAUCUCGCAUUUUUGGUUUGAAUAUUUACAUUAAACACUUUGGUUGCUAGCCACCUGGCAUUAUACCUUCCGUCAAAGUCAGUAAUUGCAUCGCAUACAGAAUAAUUUUCAUUAAUCAAAUAAAUUGCAGAAUUUAAAUUAUAGAACCUGAAAUAUAAGCGAUACCUACAGAUUAAGCCGGUCCUGCAAUCGCGUCUCCUUAAGAAAGAUUCGCCGCUACCGAGGUGUUGUAGGGUGUUGUUGACGUCUCCUCCCGUAUAAAAACGCUAGAACCCUACUUGGAACACCUCAAAGCAGACUUGGCGCCUAAACUGUAUUGUCUCUCUCUCUCAAGAACUCAAAUGUAUGGUGUGUUUGUUUCUGUUGGUAGUGGUGUGUUUUUUUUCAGUACUAAACCUCAGUAUUUAUAGUCCACAAAUACUCUAUUUAAAUCAUUAUAACUCUAUUGGGCAUUACCCCAUCAUGAGGUUCUUAUGGAUUCCACCAGGACAGCCAUUAGAGGCUGGUCAUAGCCCAAAUAAAGCAGCCAUUAGGGCCUGUAACGGAGAUGCAAUUUGGUUCUAUAAUAACUCCUUUAGGAGUUUUUAACACCACUCCUCUAUUAUGCUUUCAUUCACACAAACUUUCUAACAAUCCCCCCCUGAUGAAAAUUUCAUGCGGAUUGAGCAGACUUGAAAGAAGAGACAACGGAUAAUUCCUGCAUAGAUAGGUAGCUUUUGGCCUUUAACCUUCCCUGUGAGAGCCUAUCGAAUUUAACUGGCAGACCUGUGGGCGAGCCCGCCGUUGCCUGGCCGUCGCAUUUGUAAAUUAGACAAGAGACUCACACAGGACUUCUCCUGACGCAGUUUUAUUCUCACUGUGGCGUCCAUUUUUGGCCUGGAACACUCUUCCUGGUUCUGUAGUAUUUUCUCGAAAUUUUGUCUUCUGCAAAUUUUCAAAGAAGGGCGGCCUCCACUUUAUACUCCAUAGUGACUUCUUAUAUGGAUAUUUCAUAUAUCCAGUCCUGACGCACAGUACAAAAGUACAUUAAAGGCUAAUACUUAACCUUAUCAACAAUCACUGUUGCAUAAUAGGAACGGUAGGAGUUUUCAAACUCCACAGUGAUUAUCCAUUGAACCUAAUCUUGGGAUCUCCAGCAUUUAAGGUGGGUUUUACGUCACGAUAGCUUUCUCUUUCAUAGGCGUUUAACUCAUUCCUUUCGAUGCUAAAAAUCAACUACUCUCUAGGUAACCCUUUGGUAAGCGAAUUCGGAUAUUGUCCUUGACCUCACGUAUUCAAUAGCGACAACCCCACUGGAUGAGAGUAGUUGUCUAUGGUAUGAUGUCUAGCGACGAAUAGAUCUAGACUUUACAUUAUACAUAUUAUUUUGUUGGCCCUACCAAUCGUGGCAGACUGACUAUCGCAGUGGAUGGUAAUCGCAGACAACAGGUUUCGACCAUCUUGGAAUAUCUUCCAAAAACUGGCUUAGCCUUCGACUCCUCAGCCGCCUUAUCUGAGCAUAAACCUGAUUCCAUCGUAGAACGUGCAAUGCACGUUCUGUUUAGAAGAUGUUUUCCAAGAACUUCUUGCAUCACCACAUGAAGACAUAUCCACCCGUGGAUUUCGAGCUUUCAUAUCUGAUAUCGUUUUUUUUUUGCAUCGCAAUACAUUUCUAGCCUGCUAAGAGUUGGUAUAAUACAUCCAAAUUAUGGUAUAUCUUAAAUAGCGUACAACCUUACUAUCUCUUCCAGUGAUCACUUUCUGGACUACUUGUAACCUGCUCAUUCUGCACGGUAUGCUAUAUCGGGUCUGUACAACUCAUCAAGAAUUAAACUUCCAAUUAUACGAGAAUACUCCAAUUGGAUUCACCUUCCCCCCAUUCUUGGAUAAGUGGAUAUUUACUUAUAGGAGUCCUUGCCACAUUCGAUCAUACUUAUUGAAUUUUGGGUAAAUUUUUAUCAAUAUAGUGUGUCGAUAAAGUGCAAGUCCGUCAGAUGUUCUAAGUAAUCUUCACACCAGAAUCAUACUCUGCUAGGCCCAUAUCCUUCAUAUCAAAUUUCUAAUUACAGGUCUUGGUAGAUUUGAUACUUGUCGUUACUACCACAAGGAUCAUGUCGUCAAUGUAAACACAAAUAACAUAUCCUUCGUUGUUCCUUGACAUAUACACAUUUAUCAGAAAAAAAAAAAAAAAAAAAAAAGAAAAAAAAAAAAAACAUUCGUGUUUUUGAUUUGAAGCCACUAGACAACAACAUUGUCAAAACUUCUCAUGCCAUUAUUUCGGUGCUUGCUUUGAGACCAUACAUUAUCUUACAGGCUACAGACUUCUCUUCUUUUCCAGGUGCGGAAAACCCUCAGGUGUUAUGUAGAUUCUUCAUCUAAAUCUCCAUUCAGGCCAACUGUUUACAUCCAGCUGUGUAUCUCGCGAUUUCGCAAGCUUGCUAUCGCAUAUCAUCCUAUAGAUGUAAUUCUCGAGACGGUGAUAAGGAUCAAAGUAGUCUAGACCUUCUUUUGUCUUAUCCUUGAUACCAGUCUAGCUUUUACGUAUCUAUGAUCCAUCUGCUUUCAAUCUUUCUUCUUGAAGAUCCAUUUGUAACCAUCCAAAGGCUUACUGCUAGCGGUAAAUUCACAGUUCCCACGUAUGAUUUUUGCAGAAUGGAUUCAAUCUCACUCUUAAUAGCCUCUUUCCACAAUGGACCUUCAGGACACUCACUGCUUCUUGUAUGUCUGAGGCUCCAACUUCUAACCAUACUAAGUUAGAAAGUCUGUACCAAACAUGUUGACAUUCGAGCGCCCCCCUCUUCUUGCUACGUCUCAAUUUCAUUUCACAUUCAUCUUUUUGUCUUGGCUGCUGUCAUUAGCAGGAUGCAGAGUCCUUUUCAUGAACUUGCUCACCAAUGUAUCUACGGGAAUAUGUGUUCAAGAACACGCAUUCCUAGACUCCAUGUUAGGUGUGCUUGUGAUAUCUUAUAUUACAGACUCAUACACAAGAAACUCGAUAUGCACUACUUUUUGUGUAUACGAUAAACACACACUCACGUUUUUUUGGACCAAUCUUUUCCCUGGAGGAGGUAUGGUUACCUUCGCAAGACAUCCCUACGUACGUAAAAGUUAUAAGUAGGACUCCUACCUUUAACUAACUCAUACGGCGAUUUUAUCGCAACUUCUUGCGAGGCACUAUAUUAAGAUAUAGUUGGCAGUAGAAUCGCUCCCUCACAUGGUUCUGAGGCAAUCCAGAACUUUCAACAUGCAUCAUCAUAUCUUUAGGUACGAUUCUUUCGUUCGCAGUUUCCAUUCUGUUUAGGAGAAUAAGGUGUCAGUCGUUGAUAACUAAUUUCCGUGUUCUCCACAUUAUCCACUAAACCGGUGAUUCAUAUUCACCACCUCGUCACUUCGCACAACUUUAAUCGUCUUGCUAAGUUGAUUUUCUACUUCAUUCUUAUAAAGAAGAAUUUGGUCCAAAACUUCAUCCUUACUCUUUAGUCAAGUACCCCAACAGUAUUUCGUACAAUCAUUAAUGAAUGUAUGAAAUACUUGUAGCCUUGGUGUUUGAACAUACUUAAUCCACCACAUCAGUGUGAAUUAAACCAAUGUUCGGUACUUCUUUUCAAUCGAAUGAAUGAAGACCUAGUUAACUUGCUUCAACACCAGUCUCACACUUGUGCUUUUUUAUCAAUUUGGAAUGCUGGAAUGUGAUCCAAGUUAAUUAUCUACGUAUAGAAUCAUAAUUAACAUGUCCUAGUCUACAUGCCACAAAAUGGAGACUCAAGCACAUGAAAAACAACUAGGAAAUUCUUCUUAUAAUUGUAGGGAUUACAUCAUUACCUCAUGUUUUGAAAGACCAUCACAUAUAACAGUUUCCUACAUCAUUCCAUUCUUUGACAGAGUAACUCUAUCUGCUGCAAAAACCAUACGAAAACCAUGUCUUCUCACAAGACCAGACACCAGAUUCUUCCGAAUUCCAUGAGGGGCGGGAGAGAAGAUAGCUGGGUGGAGGGUCUAGACAGAAAAAAAAGCCAAAGAGAGUUGAGACGCGGGGCAAAAAAGUGAAAAAGGGGGGCGUAGAGGAAAAAAGAAGGAAAAGAGAAGAGACAGGAGAAGAAAAAGGAGAAAGGGAACGGGGGGGGGGGUUGAACCGAAUAACCAUGGUUCAGAGUCGCUCUUUCCUUAAGGUCUUUUCCGAAUCAUUUUUCCAAUUCCCGCAACGUCGGAUGGUGGCUGAAUUUCCAUAAACACCUUCUCACCAUUUGCCUGCUGCUCGAAGGUAUGAACGACGUCUAUCGCACCACAUGGGAGUAGCCCCCAGUAUCUACCACCAUUCUUGUGGGUUUGAACCCCGCCAUGUUCACUUCCAGAAACCAUUGCUGAGAGGUUGAUAUCAUCUACACCCUCCUGAUGACCUCAGUCAUAUGUGCAUGAACUCGAGGUUUGCAAUUGUUUUUUGCACUUAGAAGCCCGAUGCCCAAACUAUUACAGUUAAAGCAUGUACCCUGAAACUUUUCCAUGGGCUCUUGGUAACUCGAAUCAUUUUGCACCUCGAUAAUUUUUUUUUUUCUCACUUUUUACAUGUAAAGAUAUGUACAUAUCAAAGAGUAUCAAAAUUUUCUCUUACUGUUAGAUUUGCAUAUCACAUUAGUACUGAGCAAAAUCUUUUCUGAACGUCGAUUUGCCCGAUUAUAAAAAAGAAUCUUCUUAAGACUUUGGAAAAAAUGAUUCGGCAAUAACAGAAUUUCAAAGAAUAUCUUUCAUUCUCAAAAUAAAUUGCAGAAAUUUAAAUUAGAGAAACUGAAAAUUAAGACUACAAACAGAGUAGC
rnacentral:lncRNA from 1 species